AUUGAACGCUGGCGGCAGGCUUAACACAUGCAAGUCGAGCGAGCGGAGGACGGGUGAGUAAUGUCUGGGAAACUGCCUGAUGGAGGGGGAAAACUACUGGAAACGGUAGAUAAUAACGCAUACCAACAGAAGUGCCCAGAUGGGAUUAGCUAGUAGGUAGGGUAAAGGCUAACCUAGGCGACGAUCCCUAGCUGGUCUGAGAGGAUGACCAGCCACACUGGGCCUCAGACGCAGUCCAGACUCCUACGGGAGGCAGCAGUGGGGAAUAUUGCACUAUUGUCGCAAGCCUGAUUGAGCCCUGCCGCGUGUGUGAAGAAGGCCUUCGAGUUGUAAAGCACUGUCAGCGAUGAGGCGUUACUCUCAGAAGAAGCACCGGCUAACUCCGUGCCAGCAGCCGCGGUAAUAC
rnacentral:rRNA from 1 species